AGGCACCUACGGGGCGCAGCAGUAGGGAAUUUUCGUCAAUGGGCGCAAGCCUGAACGAGCAAUGCCGCGUGAACGAGGAAGGUCUUCGGAUCGUAAAGUUCUGUUGAAGGGGAAAAAGAGCGGAGAGAGGAAAUGGUCUCCGAUUGAUAUUACGCUUCGAGGAAGUCACGGCUAACUACGUGCCAGCAGCCGCGGUAAUACGUAGGUGGCAAGCGUUAUCCGGAUUUAUUGGGAGUAAAGGGAACGAAGGCGGUCUUUUAAGU
rnacentral:rRNA from 1 species